AGUCACUGACAUUAGAUACCCCCGUAGUCCAGGGUGUAAACGCUGCAGACUUGGUGUUGGAAGCCCUUUGGGGCAUUCAGUGCCGGAGAGAAGUUGUUAAGUCUGCUACUUGGGGAGUACGUCCGCAAGGAUGAAACUUAAAGGAAUUGGCGGGGAGCACCGCAACGGGAGGAGCGUGCGGUUUAAUUGGAUUCAACACCGUAAACUCACCAGGGAAGACUGUUACAUGAAGGCCGAGAUGAAGACUCUGCCAGAUUUUCAG
rnacentral:rRNA from 1 species